GCCCGAGUGGCGGAAUUGGUAGACGCAGCGGAUUCAAAAUCCGCCGGUGGCAACACCUUGUGGGUUCGAGUCCCACCUCGGGCACCA
rnacentral:tRNA from 1 species